GGACCAGACUUCUACGCAAGGCAGCAGUGAGGAAUAUUGGUCAAUGGAGGAAACUCUGAACCAGCUAUGCCGCGUGUACGGAAGACAGUCUUUUAGGUUGUAAACUACUUUUGCAUAGAAAUAAAAGUUACUACGUGAUAGUAGCCUGAAGGUACUAUGCGAAUAAGUGUCGGCUAAUUUCGUGCCAGCAGCCGCGGUAAUACGAAAGACACAAGCGUUAUCCGGAUUUAUUGGGUUUAAAGGGUGUGUAGGCUGUUUAUUAAGUCAGUAGUGAAAGCUUACAGCUUAACUGUAAAAUUGCUAUUGAUACUGAUAACCUUGAGUAAGAUUGGAGCAUUUGGAAUGUAUGGUGUAGCGGUGAAAUGCAUAGAUAUCAUACAGAACACCAAUAGCGAAGGCAGGAUGCUAAAUCUUCACUGACGCUGAGGCACUAAAGCGUGGGUAGCAAACAGGAUUAGAUACCCUGGUAGUCCACUGCCCUAAACGAUGAUCACUAGCUAUUGGAAAAACUAUAUUCAGUGGCUAAGCUAAAGCGAUAAGUGAUCCACCUGGGAAGUACGAUCGCAAGAUUGAAACUCAAAGGAAUUGACGGGGUUCCGCACAAGCGGUGGAGCAUGUGGUUUAAUUCGAUGAUACGCGAGGAACCUUACCAAGGAUUAAAUGUAUUACGAAUAAGCUGGAAACAACUUAGUCUAUAAGACGUAAUACAAGGUGCUGCAUGGUUGUCUUCAGUUCGUGCUGUGAAGUGUUUGGUUAAGUCCUAUAACGAGCGCAACCCCUAUUGUUAGUUGCCAACGGGUAAAGCCGGGGACUCUAACAAAACUGCCGGUGUAAAUCGUGAGGAAGGUGGGGA
rnacentral:rRNA from 1 species